rnacentral:rRNA from 1 species
UACGUAGGGUGCAAGCGUUGUCCGGAAUUAUUGGGCGUAAAGAGCUCGUAGGCGGUUUGUCGCGUCUGCCGUGAAAAUUCGAGGCUCAACCUCGAACUUGCGGUGGGUACGGGCAGACUAGAGUGUGGUAGGGGAGACUGGAAUUCCUGGUGUAGCGGUGAAAUGCGCAGAUAUCAGGAGGAACACCGAUGGCGAGGGCAGGUCUCUGGGCCACUACUGACGCUGAGAAGCGAAAGCAUGGGGGAGCGAACAGG